UGAGCUCAUAAAGAGCUCGCACUUCGAAAUAGCGGGUUCCAGCCAUCCGGCUGGGACCCGCUCGACUGUUUUGUUACAGGCAUUUUCCUUCUGCGGUCCGGAGUUCGAGUCGCGGGAAAGUGCAUUUCCCUGACCGCGGCGGAUGGAAUGACGCAGAGGACAUUCUUUAAACGUCCUUCACCGGUGACGCUGGCAGACCUUGCCGCGUUGACCGGAGCCCAAAUCGCCGACCAAUCGCGUGCUGAUAAGGUCAUUGCGGGAGCGGCGUCGCUCGAUCGUGCCGGCCCCGGUCACCUGACGUUCUGCGAAAACAAGAAGUACGCCGGACAACUUGAGCAGACGCACGCCGGCGCGUGUCUGGUGAACGAGCGCCUGGAGGGCAGCGUUCCCCCGCNNNNGGAGCCUUACAAGGCCUUCGUCACGGCGAUGCGCGCCCUCUAUCCCGAUACGUUGCGGCCUGCCUCGUG
rnacentral:misc_RNA from 1 species